rnacentral:tRNA from 1 species
UAGGCUUUAUCUUAAUUAAAGUGUCUGUUUUGCAUACAGAAGAUGUAGGAUAAGAACCUGCAAGUCUUA